rnacentral:rRNA from 1 species
GGUCCGCCUGCCCUGUGACUAUUAGUUUAACGGCCGGGGUAUUUUGACCGCGCGUAGGUAGCGCAAUCACUUGUCUCUUAAAUGGGGACCUGUAUGAAUUGCAUAACGGGGGCUUAGCUGUCUCCCUCCCUGAGGUAAUGAAAUUGAUCUUUCCGUGCAGAAGCGGGAAUAGACACAUAAGACGAGAAGACCCUAUGAAGCUUUAGACGUAAGGUAGCCCAGACUACAAAGGCCCUCCAAUAAGUGAACAAACCAAAAGGUUUUCUACCCCGAUGUCUUUGGUUGGGGCGACCGCGGCGAAAGACAAAACCCCCAUGUGGAACGGGAGUACAACUCCUUAAACUCAGAGCAGCAGCUCUAAGAAACUAGAUUUUUGACCUAAAGAUCCGGCAAUGCCGAUUAACGGACCGAGUUACUCUAGGGAUAUCAGCGCAAUCCCCUUUUAGAGACCAUAUCAACAAGGGGGUUUUCGACCUCGAUGUUGGAUCAGGACAUCCUAUUGGUGCAGCAUCUAUUAAGGGUUCGUUUGUUCA